rnacentral:rRNA from 1 species
UGGGGAAUAUUGCACAAUGGGCGAAAGCCUGAUGCAGCGACGCCGCGUGAGUGAAGAAGUAUUUCGGUAUGUAAAGCUCUAUCAGCAGGGAAGAAAAUGACGGUACCUGACUAAGAAGCCCCGGCUAACUACGUGCCAGCAGCCGCGGUAAUACGUAGGGGGCAAGCGUUAUCCGGAUUUACUGGGUGUAAAGGGAGCGUAGACGGCGAAGCAAGUAUGUAGUGAAAACCCAGGGCUCAACCCUGGGACUGCUUUGGAAACUGUUUUGCUAGAGUGUCGGAGAGGAAAGUGGGAUUCCUAGUGUAGCGGUGAAAUGCGUAGAUAUUAAGAAGAAAACCAGUGGCGAAAGCGGCUUACUGGACGAUAACUGACGUUGAGGCUCGAAAGCGUGGGGAGCAAACAGG